GGGUAAAUCAUCUAAUGGUAAGAUACUUGACUUUUAAUCAACUAAUAUAGGUUCGAUUCCUAUUUUACUCA